rnacentral:rRNA from 1 species
GGGGAAUAUUGGACAAUGGGCGAAAGCCUGAUCCAGCAAUACCGCGUGUGUGAAGAAGGCCUUAGGGUUGUAAAGCACUUUCAAUUGGGAGGAAAACCUACCGGUCAAUACCCGGUAGCUUGACAUUACCUUUAGAAGAAGCACCGGCUAACUCCGUGCCAGCAGCCGCGGUAAUACGGAGGGUGCGAGCGUUAAUCGGAAUUACUGGGCGUAAAGCGUGCGUAGGCGGUUCGUUAAGUCAGAUGUGAAAGCCCUGGGCUCAACCUGGGAACGGCAUUUGAAACUGGCGGACUAGAGUUUAGUAGAGGGGAGGCGGAAUUCCUGGUGGAGCGGUGAAAUGCGUAGAGAUCCGGAAGAACGUCGGUGGCGAAGGCGGCCUCCUGGACGAACACUGACGCUGAGGUGCGAGAGCGUGGGGAGCGAACG